UACAGAGGUCUCGAGCGUUGUUCGGAUUCAUUGGGCGUAAAGGGCGCGUAGGCGGCGUGUCAAGUCAGGCGUGAAAGCCCCGGGCUCAACCUGGGAACCGCGCUUGAGACUGGCAUGCUCGAGUUCGGGAGAGGAUGGUGGAAUUCCCAGUGUAGAGGUGAAAUUCGUAGAUAUUGGGAAGAACACCAGUGGCGAAGGCGGCUCACUGGCUCGAUACUGACGCUGAGGUGCGAAAGCGUGGGGAGCAAACAGG
rnacentral:rRNA from 1 species